AGAUUGAACGCUGGCGGCAUGCCUUACACAUGCAAGUCGAACGGCAGCACGGGAGCAAUCCUGGUGGCGAGUGGCGAACGGGUGAGUAAUAUAUCGGAACGUGCCCAGUCGUGGGGGAUAACGCAGCGAAAGCUGUGCUAAUACCGCAUACGAUCUAUGGAUGAAAGCGGGGGAUCGCAAGACCUCGCGCGAUUGGAGCGGCCGAUAUCAGAUUAGCUAGUUGGUAGGGGUAAAAGCCUACCAAGGCGACGAUCUGUAGCUGGUCUGAGAGGACGACCAGCCACAC
rnacentral:rRNA from 1 species